UGGUUGCAUACUUCCAGUUCCAAAUGAGGUGUGUGGUUGACUGGUCAGUUUAUAACUCUGAAGUUCAUAAUUCUGAGGCUUUACUGUAGUGACAAUUUUCACUAGUGAGG